rnacentral:rRNA from 1 species
GAUGAACGCUGGCGGCGUGCCUAAUACAUGCAAGUAGAACGCUGAAGGAGGAGCUUGCUUCUCUGGAUGAGUUGCGAACGGGUGAGUAACGCGUAGGUAACCUGCCUGGUAGCGGGGGAUAACUAUUGGAAACGAUAGCUAAUACCGCAUAAGAGUAGAUGUUGCAUGACAUUUGCUUAAAAGGUGCAAUUGCAUCACUACCAGAUGGACCUGCGUUGUAUUAGCUAGUUGGUGAGGUAACGGCUCACCAAGGCAACGAUACAUAGCCGACCUGAGAGGGUGAUCGGCCACACUGGGACUGAGACACGGCCCAGACUCCUACGGGAGGCAGCAGUAGGGAAUCUUCGGCAAUGGACGGAAGUCUGACCGAGCAACGCCGCGUGAGUGAAGAAGGUUUUCGGAUCGUAAAGCUCUGUUGUAAGAGAAGAACGAGUGUGAGAGUGGAAAGUUCACACUGUGACGGUAUCUUACCAGAAAGGGACGGCUAACUACGUG